CUCCCCUCGAGCUCCCGUCCCGUGUUCCCCACCGGUGAGACCGCAGGUUCCGGUUCCCUCCUCCGACUCCGUCAUCUAAAUCCUAGGGUGAUCCGUCGUAGAACUUCUCGAGACUCUCCUUCCCGCACGAUCUCAAGCAGCCGCCGCCGUAACCGUCCCCGCAUCUGCGCCCCGUCGCCCCCUGCGAGCCGGGCGGCCGGGCCUCUGCUGCAGCCAGAAGACGCCGGCCACCGAGCAGUUGCCGUCCCUCCUCCCCGCCCGCCCAAGUCCUUAAUGCGCGACCUGCCCAAGCUACUCCUCUUCAUGGCCCCUAUCAGCCGCGAUGAUGGUGUUCGUCGACCUGCAGCAGUUUCCCAAUCAUUUGUGUAUUCUCUCAGCACGGGGAAUGAAUCUGGGAUGAUGGAUUUAGCUUCGUGGAAAGGAAGGGUAACCUUAGUCUAAUUAUGGUCAAUACGUGGACUGUUGAGUUGCCGAUGUCUGAAUAGUACAAGAAGCUAUGCAACCUACUGAAAGCGAGGGAUUAUGAGCCUCAUGACCGCAGUGCGCCACUAUGUGCAUGUCGCUCGGCUUCGAUUCAGUGGCGGGGGCAGAAUAGCAGUGUGGCGUUGGCGAUGGGCAAUAACGUUUGAACUUAGUGACGGGUCACGGCAGCACACUCGUUCAAGAUAUGAGAAUUAGUGUUUCUUCUUUUCUAUUUUUUUGCGGCUGAUGAUGGAUCUAUCAUUCUCCCUCUUAACUGUGA